rnacentral:rRNA from 1 species
ACUUGUGCUAAUACCGGAUAAGUCUUUACAGAGAAAGCUUUAUGCACCAUUGGAUGAGCCUGCACUUGAUUAGUUUGUUGGUGGGGUAAUGGCCUACCAAGACUGUGAUCAAUAGCUGAUUUGAGAGGAUGAUCAGCCACAUUGGGACUGAGACACGGCCCAAACUCCUACGGGAGGCAGCAGUGGGGAAUCUUGCACAAUGGAGGAAACUCUGAUGCAGCGAUGCCGCGUGAGUGAAGAAGGCCCUUGGGUUGUAAAGCUCUUUCGUCGGGGAAG